rnacentral:lncRNA from 1 species
GGCCAAUCUUCCAUUGGGAAAGAAGCAGGAUAUCCAGAAUAUAUUGGGCUGAAAGAAAUAGAUCUUACUAAUAUCUCCAUCUGGUCCAGUCAGGAAGAAGCCCCCACUGCUGCUUGCUCCAGUCAACUAAAAUAAAAAAUGAGCUUGAUGGUUUGCCAGGGAUGAACUCGAUCCUAUUGGUCUUCAGCUGCAGCCUAAGAGUUAAGAAAUGCA